rnacentral:lncRNA from 1 species
CGAUUCUCUGUCUGCUGCAUGUGGCAAUGCCAGCACAUGGCCGACCUAAUGCUGCCAUAGGAGUGCACGUUAGAGACGCCUGCAUCAGCAAGUGCUCUAGGCCGUUACACCGAACUGAAAAGAGCGGCAGCAAAGCCUGAGGAGUGACGUCUCGCACCGAAAGACCCGUUCCCCCACAUACGAAGAUGAGGCACGGACCGAAGGCGUUGCAGCCCACUUGGUCGUCCCCAUAGUCUCUUUUACCGUUCCCCUCACCCCGAGUCGCCUGGUGACGCAUGCGUCGGCAAACGAGAGACAUGACUGCUUUCUGAAUUUGUUCUUGUUCGUCUGGCACAAUUCGACUCGCGACGUGGUUCGCAUGACCGCGCUCCUUCUCCACUUCAAUGCUCUCGCAGGUCAGCCCAUCGAGCUGGAGGUGUUUAGCGAGUUCGGGAGAGACCCUUAGGCUGCUCAGCGCCGCUUCAACGCAUGCAUCCUUCAUGACCCCUUCAGAACACCGAUCAGAAACGACAACGACGCCCAGAAAGCAGGGGCGUGCUUCGUUCGCUGUCUCCAUCACAUGGCGACGGGACCGACGGUCUGUGUCUGCUACGACCGCCUCGCCGCACUCCCCUACAUGGGUGGCGUUUUGCCCGUCCUUCUCCAAGGAGUCCUCUGAGACUGGAUUUCUCUGGACUCCUGAGGAACAGGAAAACCCGAGGGUGUUGACUUCCGUCUUUGCUGCGUGCAGGAGUUCGGAGGGGUCGCGACUGCGCUGGUCUCCGCAUCUGCACCGGCCAACGGGGAAGGUCGAGACUUCUCUGUCGAAGCUCGCAGGCCGCCCUUGAGCGCGCUGCUGUCGCUCCUCCUGGAGUGUGAGGAGUUUGAGAAGCAUUUUGGGUGGGGCUGGAAACGGUGUGUCCAGAAGCCACGCCCACAAAACCUCGCCCUUCUCAUGGCGAUCCCGACCGGACCUUUCUCUCGGAGGCACCAAGAUCAGAGCGUUCGCGUUUCCGCAACAGCUGAGCAGCCGCGAACUCUGCUGCGCGCCCGUGGGGAAUGCAUGCAGGUAAACCUGCGGAGAAUUGCAUGCGCUACAGAAUCGGGACGAGAGCAAGCCUUCGCACCUUGCUGGCGGGGAGAGUGACUGGGCCAAAACCGGGAGGUCACUGGGAGAGAGCCGCGCGUCCGCCACGCUCCGACACUCGGUACUGGCGCUAAAGUCCACGUACACCAGGGAACGCUGGAACUCUGGACGGCUGGCGUCAGGCCGCAGAGGAGCUGCGAGGCGGACCGGGACCUGUGGCGGGAGGUGACACGAGAGCGAAGAAGACGGAGAAAACGAAGAGAAAAACUGCAGCGCGGGACCCACGAGAAGGUGAAAGAGAACCCACGAACUACACGGAUUGCCGGGGAGCGCAAACACGAGGAGUGUCCGGCACGGAGACGCCUCCGUCGUCGAAUCUUUCCCUGCCCCUGGAGGGCUUUCCGACGACGUCCUGUACACUCGAAGCGAGGCAACAAUUGCCGGUUUCCCUGGCUUCACGUUCAGGCGGCCAAAGUGAAUUUCUGUGUCAAUACGGAAGGAAGGACUGCGUCCGUCGCAGACAGGAGACAGCUGCUUUUUCCCUGGUUUUUCACGUUCGGAAAAACCAAGCCCACCCUCCAGAGAGACUCGUUUCCCGUCCCGGAGCUCCUGCCGCUUUCUUGUUUCUUCCUGCAGCUGCAGAAGCGCGAGUUUGACACAGUCGCUGUCACCCAUGGACACCCCGCCUGUGGUGAUGAGGACAUCGACUCCGGUACCCACGUUGUCAGGUCCAUUCGCUUGAGUUUUUGCAUCCAUCUCCGCGCACCAAGGGCAUUCGCAACCUCUCGUGACUUCUUUGCCUCGUCCGUCCAUCGUUCUCAGCUGGUCUCCCGACCUCGGCGAACAGCCCGCGAGUGCCGCUUUUCCCCUCGCGCCCGUCGCGAGCUUGACUAGCAGUGUACGUACAGCCGCCACAUCAUCCGGUAGAAAGUGUUGCGCGCGAACCUGCGCACUCGGGCACCGGUCGGCGACUAGAGCGGCGAGUGUCGGGGAGUUGCUGUCGAAGACUUUGGCAGGGGCGGACUUGGGAGAUUCACCGGGAAAAGCCUUGUUCGCAUGCGCUGCCGCGGGCGAGAGCGGCGGCUGAGGGGCACACUUCGAAGACGCCUGAGUCGCUCCAUCGACUGACGACGAACCUGCAACAUUCACGCCUCGGUUUCUCGCGCAGAACUCUUCGUCCUCCCCCCUCUUCUGUCCAACCCCCGCGACUCUGCUCACCAGCUCGUCGCCAAUCGCCAAAGUGUGCACGUUCAGGUAUCUGUACACCUCGAGUCGGUGGACGUCGAAACUCGCGAGAAGCCCUUCCUCGGCAGGUCCGACCCGCUGGCCCUGCUCCAUGAGCGGCAGGCCGGCGGCGACGUCGCUGCCGACAGCUCGAAUGUUUGUUCCCGGUCGCAGAGCCGCUAGAGCAGCGAGGUCAGGCAUACAUAGAGAUUUCUCUCGAUCCACGACGCAGGCUUCCACAGGCAAGACCGCCUGAAAUUGAGGCGGGACGGGCGCCCCCGUUGUCACGUACACACAAGUGGACUCGGGGCAAGUGUCCUGAGCGCCGCCUGCCUGUUUGCCUGGUGUCGAAUCCGCUGGGUGGGGUGCAGCUGCCUGCGUCACGAGCGAACUUUGGGGAUUCGUUGGCAUGUGUGAGUGACGAAACGCACACGACUCCCCACCAGCGCGGACCUUCUGAACAAUGCGGAGUGCCAGACGAGAGUCGUCUUGCGCCUCUGGGCCCCGCUUCUGCGAACUGGACACGCUCCGAGAGGGCUGUCGAGACCCGCCAACUUCCGGGGUCAGGCGGAGAGCGUAGCCAUCCACGAGGGCGGCGCGAAAUGCAGGAAAGGGUCGGGGAGCAAGGACAGAAGUCGCAACGCGACGACCUAGGAACGGCGGAGUAAUGUGGCACGUGAGGGGUGGCUCAGCCACACGCGAAGUCUCUCCUCGGGUCGGUGCGACCUCCUUCUUUGCCUGGCGAGUCCUCUCGGUACCCUCUUUCUCCUGAGUAUCUUUGGGCGCGCUUGCUUCUCCAAGGCAGCACGUGGACUCUCCACGCGCUUGGUCGGGAGACACACCGCCCGCGGGUGCGAGCUUGGUCUUGCCUCUGAGGACAUUGAAACGAUGCAAGUGUGCGUGGAUGAGCCGCCGGACUUCACACUCGACCAAAAACUGCGCCUCGCUGAGUUCCAGCAGGGGAAAGCUGCUGGUUUCUCGAAUGAGGUCCGAGCCAUUCCCCAGACAUGCCUCGUCGCCAGGUUCUGUGCCUCCACGAAGCAUCCGAGCCGAGGCGGGAGAACGAGGCGAAGACACGAGAGUGUGCGUCUCCAAAGUUCCCGGUACUUCACCACCUUCACCACCUACGCCGCUUGCUGCGAUAAAUUCUGUCCGCAAGUGUACGGAGUUGGACGCUCCCCGGUCACCCGCGUCUCUUCUCUUCCUUCUUUGUGGCAUUCUGUCCGUGAGUUCGAAUCGCAACUAUGGAUAGAUAGGGCAGCCAGGCGUGGUUUGUGAAUCGAGAGAAAGUACGUCAAAACGAGACUUGUCACUCUGCGAUUCUUGUAGCUAAACACUGCCGUUCCAGGCAAACCAGGAUGUAUCUCCUCCAGAAGGAUAUGCAAAUAUUGUACUGGCACAUGCGGAUCGCUGCAAGUACACAAACAGACGAGAGAGGAACAGAGAAAAAGCCAAAGGGACUGUGAAGGUAGAUCUGGAGCUUGAAGACCUAAGCCGAUUCGAAGAAGGCGGGAAAAACAAUGCCGCGAAAGGUCUCCUUCCAGGGAAGCUAGGAAUCCGUCAGAGCUGCGCCUACAUAAAAACACAAAGGUAAAGUGACCUUACGGGUACUUUAUUAUUUUUACUUCGCCAGCGGAAAUCUUAAAAGACACUGUCUCUUUCUCGUCCUCAAGCCAGUGUAUUUACUACGGCCGGCCAACUCUUAAAUAUUCAGAGUGACCUGGAAAACGCAGAUAAAUAGAAGCUGGGAAGAAAAAGGGGAUCUCGCCGCAAACGCGCGUUUUGUGUGCGGAGGACAGCGCGUUCAUCGUGUCUUGACGGAGAGCGCGUGCCUUCUUUCGCCGAGUGUCUCCGACAGUUUCCAGUUCAAAAACGCACCGUUUCAAGAGGAUAAAACACCCUAUUGGCUCCAGCGUGUCACAAUCAAGCGAAAAAGAAGACGGAAUGAGUGUGGAAAGCACUGGCCAUCGUUAUUGACACGUCUCCAAAAAGUCUCCCCGCCUUUCCCGGUUCGGGCUAGGGGUCCCAGAGCUAGGGGAACGAUCCUGUUGUCUCGGCCCCCCUGGCUCCUCGUCACUGAGGAACGUCUGAGAAAGAGGAUAAGUUUCUCUCCCCUACUCCAGUGAUGCUUUUACAUCUCUUCUGUGCUAGACUUCUGCUGCUCCUUCCUCGAUCCUUUGCUUCCAUGCCAGAACCCAGGGAAAGACCUCAACUCGGGUUUCGCAUCGAAGUCAUAUGAACAAACGAGCACGAGGCCGCUACACCAGACUAGGGUUGAUCCGAGAUAUUUCCACAGAAAAAUACUCGUAAGUUGGUCUUUGUGGAGAUGAAUUAACGGAAAAGCUCACCUUGUGAUGAGCACUGCAGUCCGUCAAUUUGUCAGGUACCACAAGCUCGGGCGCUUCUUGAGACAGCUGCAAGCGAGGAUACCUAAACCACGGACCUUCGUCCACCGCCGUCGUUUGCUGACACCGUGGCGAGUCACAGGUUCUGAGAACAUGCAGAAAUCUGCGAUAUCUCGCUCAAUUUACAUGCAAGUUUGAAACAGCGUCUCACAGAAUUAUCGUUCCCGAGCAAGUGGGAAGAACUGAGGAACGAAUCCAUGUCACCAGGCGCUAGAAUCACACGCACGAACCUGCUUGUCUCGACGACGGCAGAUUCCGGUGGCUACGUGGUGUAGCACAAAACUGUCUGAACUAAGAGAUUGGUUAGUCACGAGCGAACCAAUACGGUUUCCAUCUUGCCCCAAGAGCAGAGGCAAACACCGGUUUUUCCGUGUUAGCGUGUGUGUACUUCCUGAGGUGGACCAUAACCAACGUACAUUGAUAUCUAUGUUGUGUUACGGAAGCCCUGGACAUACACUCAUUGUUGGAACUGGACACUCAGAUGCAUCGGAUUUCACACAAAAACAAGUGGCCCAGCUUAUCUGUGCUGCUACAGUGCCGCUGUGUAAUGAAAUACGUUUGCGUCAACUUGUAAGGCAAAACAAGUCAAGCGUUGGACAAACGAGGAUCCUCAGUGCAGAUGUUGGUGGAGGGUGGGAGAGUAGUGGGGGGAUGCUGUAUGUGAGGUGCUCAUGUAUUCGGGAAAGCGUGCUUAGAAGAAGCAGGCAAAUGCUACUAUUCAACCCGCUCCUUUGCUUUACCCUGGGGGAAUCCUCAUUUCCAGAUGGAGGCCGUAGCAGCGAGGCUAUGCCUACAACACCUGUGUGCCUCGAAACAUAUCGCUCGCUGACGUGGCAUUUUGAUGCCGGUUGGUGUAGUCAGAGCGAACCUGUAGGUUGAGUACCAGUUGUGCUUUCUCCUUCGUAAUGUUAUUCUGUACAGAAUGCUUAGAUUUAUCUGUCUCUCUAAAUUAACGGUUCUCAAUUUGGUGAUGGUACCUUCAAAGUAACUGAUAUACAUUUCGGUCAUAUUAUUGUCAGUGUUGUCUUGCCAUUUCUUUGAUCAGGGCAUGUGUAGCUCUGUAAUUGCGUGCUUGACAGUAAAGAACAGAAAAACUUUGAGCCCUCGCACACAGUGCGUAAUACCUAG